AAGUUCAGGGUGGGGAUACUGCCUCCAGUCUCAUAAAUGCGUCACACAAAUUGUACAAUCAUGAAAUGGAAAACUACACUUCUGUUUCACUAAGGUAUUCAUAUCAAACUAAAGAACCUCAAUUUAAUGCCACUCUAAAGCUUCUAGACAGACUAUUUAAAGGAAAGUGAACAAGACCAUCAGGGACAAGACCUGAAAGUGAUACAAGAGGGUGGGUGUCCAUGGAGCCGCUGAAGAAAACCCCUCUUUAGCAUUUCUUCCAUAUAAUUGUCAGAAAAAAAGACAUAUUUGACAAUUAAAAGUCAGCAGGACAAGAUACUCAAGCAUGUGGAGGACAAGGUAAACAAAGACUGCUUUGUCCACAUGGGGGGCUGGAACUGACACCAAACAAAAGUUCCUGACAGGAGCUUUAACUUACAUAUAAGAUUUCAACUUGUUCAAUUUUUGCCUUUUUAAUUCUUUAAAUGGCUUCAACUCAUUUGUAAACUUCACUUUUAAACUUAUCUAGUCUACUUUUUACGACUUGUAAAGUUCAUUUGGAAACUUCAACCUUAACUUUUAUUCAAGUCAGUUAAUAAGUUUGUUAAUUUAUUUAUUCAAGUGUCAUGAACACAAAGUGCCCAACCCACAUGGGUUUAUAAGACACUAAAAAUAUCAACAGACAGUGUUGCGUAGUGUGUAAACCGCAAAAAAAAGAGGAAAAGGACAAACAUGCAAGUACACAUACAACUAUAUCUAAACCCAUAAGCUACUUAAAUUCAAAUCAAAUGUACAACACACUUUUUCUACUGUCCCAGGUCUUAUAAAUAAAGUUAGCUGUAUAAAAAAACUCCUAUUUCAAAAAACAAUUCAAGUCAAAAAACCUCUAAGUCAGUGGUUCUUAAGUCCAGUCCUCGAGGCCCACUGUCCUGCAUGUUUUGGAUGUUUCCCUGCUCCAACACACCUGAUUCAAAUGAUUAGCUCGUUAUCAAGCUCUGUAAUGGCUUAAUAACGAGCUGAUCAUUUGAAUCAGGUGUGUUGAAACAUCCAAAACAUGCAGGACAGUGGGCCUUGAGGACUGGACUUGAGAACCGCUGCUCUAAGGGAUUACUUUUUACUUGAAAACUUGGAUUUUAGGCUAAUUUACUACACUGAAGUACUCCAACUUUACAUGAAAACAUCAGUUUGAAGUUUAAGCCACUUAAGUAUUUCAACUGAACUCCCAUUUUACACAGCUCAAACAUAUUUCCUCUAUACAUGAACAUUCAUUUAACACUUUUUACAUCUGUCCUGAAAGCUGCUGAGAGAAACUUUUGGUCUGAGUCCAUUUGGCGUCCCCUUGGACAAAGUCGCACCUCUUAACUCUGACUCUGUAAAUGUGAAAGUAGCGUUUUCAGACAAAAACCACAUCCUUUUUGUCGCUGAACAACAAAAUGUUUCCCUCAGUGUGAGUAAUUGUCCUGAAAAAAGAAAAAAUACUAAUUCUGGUUUGACACCUACACCCUUAGAGAAGUUUCACAUGUUUGAAAACAAAAUCACUAUUUUAGUGUUUCUCAACCAGAUGAAAAUUUCCUAUAGUGCCUUUAAAGGUCCUGAGAGGAGUUAUUAUGAAUCAGACUGAAAUGACUACUGAUAUCUAUUUAUGAUCUACAGAAAACCAAAUUACACAAUGACUUCUAUAUUGUCAUUUUUGACUCAUUAAACUGCUGCCAGUGGGUGGGUUUCAGAUAAAGAGCUCCAUGGCACACUUCAUUGUUCCUUUUUUCAACUUUUUACUCAGUAAUAAGGUCAAUGAGUAAUCAGUUUGAGUGAAAUGAGAGACUAAGUUUUUAGCAAAAAGAACAGUACUUAAAAAAAAUCAUAAAAUUAUUAAAGAGAUGAGAGGUACUACUUUGUCCAAAUGGGGCGCCAAAAUCCAAGUUUCUAAGAGGAGCUUUAAAAUAUGUAAAACUUGAACUUCAUGAAUGAAAAGUUCUUUUACUUUACAUUAUUAGGCACGUCAAUUUUAGACUUUUUUAAAAUCUAGUUUAGAGCACUAUAUAUCUUCUUUACCUGAAAACUUAAAUAAUAUGUUAUUUUCAGUAAAUCUUAGAGGCAAAUCUUACAUCCAUACUUACAAAAAAAAGCUAGUUGUGAAAAAUGUUGAUAAAACAGGAUAAUGCAAACUUUUAAAUUAGCAUAUUUAAUUGAAAAUAGUGUAAAGACAACUCAUAAAACUGAAAAAUUUUACAGUUUAAUGAUGACAAAUUUGACUCAUUUAAGACCGUUGGGAUGGGAAAACCCUGAAAAAGUUGUAUCAUGGUUUAAAAACGGACCUGGAACAUCCCUACACAACUCAUGACUGGGUAUAAAAAGGACAGUCCAGAGAGGCUGAGUGUCUAAGUCUCAGGUUUUAGUAUUUCUAAAAUUGUAAAGAAUUUUAUGAUUCGAUCAUCUACAGCACAUAACAUCAUGUAAAGGAUCAGAGAACCUGGGGAAAAGGCACAAAACCAGUACUGGGAGGCUGUUAACCUCAGACCCUGAGGUGUCAUAUCUGACUCUGUAGUGGAUAUCACCACAUGAACUCUUUAAAAUCACUUCCAUUAAUGUAGAAUGGUACAGGCAGGUUUUGGAGCAACAUGUGCUGCUAUCUAAACAAUAUCUAUAAUAUAUAUUUUAAAAUCUGCAAUGAUCUGAAAUUAGGGUGACCAUAUUCUGAACCCCCAAAAAGAGGAUACGACCAUGUGGGGACGGAGUCACGGAGUCACACAUUUUUAGGGUCAGAUCAAGUGUUUUUUACACGCUUCUAACUAAGUCCACGCGACACAAACUCGAAACUUCCAUACAACACCCCAUACAUUCGAAGGAUUUUAUAAACUUUCCCGGACAAAGCCGGACAAGGCUGGACAACCCCCAAAAAAGAGGACAUGUCCGGGUAAAAGAAGAUGUAUGGUCACCAUAUCUGAUAAAAGGCUUUCAGGAAAAAAGAAAUAUAUUUAUGACACCCCACAAUCUGUGUACUUUUACAUGAGAUCAUGUCCUUAGAGGACUUUGGUGAAGUUUGGCUGCUUUCUUUGAAAAAAAGUAACUGAAUGAGAGAAAGCCUUGACUGCAGAGCCCAUGCAUUAACAGAAAGGUCAUUGUUGGAGACUUCUUUAAUGCAACAAUGCAGAGUGACCCAAUUAAGGAGCAAGAAAGACAAUCCCAAGCGUAGUAGUGGCUCCGCUGAUGAGCCUGUGUUUGUGUGCUGAAGCGGGGACAGAGCGAGUGAAAAGGACGCCAGCCAGGGGUGGGAAGUCCGGUCUUCUGCCUCUUUUCUCCCUCAUCUUCUCUUUUUUUUUUUUGAUGGCGGGUGGAGUGGUUGUAGCCGAGCAGUGCUUCACCCCAGAGACCUCCCUCCCCUUCCUCGCUGCACUGAGAAACAAAAGGGGCUUUUUCUCUGAGGAGCACAGUGACGUGGGAGGCGGCUGUGAAUGUGGGCCAUGUGUCAGAGCUGCUGCUGCUGCUGCUGUGUUUGUCUGCCCCCCCUCCCCUCUGAUGCCUGUGCAAACUUUCAGAGCUAUGCUGUCAUUAACUUUUUGAUUCGCUGAGCCUGCGAGAUUGCAUAAAACUUUUGUGUGUGUGUGAAAAAAACAUCCAACAAUUGACGUUUUGUAAAAGCCUGGGAAGCCACUCGUCUAAGUGAAGACUAAAUUGAGGAUUUAACAUACUUUUUGUGCAAAAACAGAUGUUGAGAUGUAUAGAAAGAGGGUAUGACCAAGAGGAGGCAGAACUUAAUAAAGUCCACAAACAAAUCCUGUCUCUAUUCGCAGCAGAGGGCUGUCCACUAUGAGUUUGGUCUUGCUUCAGGUCUCUGCCUGUUCAAAGAGAGCUGGCAUUUAUUCACAGUGGACUAAUGUUUGGUCUUUGUACACGAUACAAACAUGAUAAUGGUCUAGAUUAGCACUUUUUUAAGAGUCAUGAGUGAAAUCCUUUGUAGCAUUCACCAAGUUACAGUGGAGUGGAAAAACUUCCUUUAACGGGCAGAAACCUUGGGCAGAACCGAUUCAUGUUAGACAGUCAUCUGCUGAGACUGCAUCGAGUUUAGAGAGGGGAUAGAGGGAGGUAAAGACAGAGGUUUGAUUUUCUCUGUAACUUGGUCACUUUUUUAAAGGAUAUUCCGGCACAAAAUUAAUAACACCAAGUUAGAGACCCACUUGAGAGAUGAAUGUUGCCGACCACUUGCUUCUCUAGUUAUAUCAACUUUAAUAACGACCGCAGGAUAGCAAUACACAGCGGUCUGAGGAGCCAUAAACAAACCUCAACCAAAAAGCACCUAACUUCAUCAACAGUACAUAUAGGGUCCUAACCACAGCACUAGCCACCAAACAUAUUUUAAGCUUUGCCUAAUUUCUUUAGCAAACAGACUAAACACAACUCACCUACUCUCUUUCAGCAGCUGCUUGUUUGUACGGAGACCUCAGACAAGUCCAUUACGGACAACAGCAGGGUGACGCAGCUCAAGGAAGAACAUUUAUGACCAUUACAUUGUCAGGUAAUAAUCGCCAUAUUAAUCAUUUUGCACUGCAGACGCGGUAGUUUUCCAGUCUUAGCGUCUUGGUCUGACUCCAUGAAGAGUUGAUCGUAAAUGUUCUUCCUUGAGCUGCAUCACCCCGCAGCAGUCCUUAAUGGACUGGCCUGAAGUCUCGCUACAAACAAGCGGCUGCUGGAAGAGAGUAGGUGAGUUGUGUUUAGUGUCUUUUCUAAAGAAAUCAUUCAAAGUUAAAAGGAUGUUUGGUGGCUAGUACUAUGGCUAGGACCCUAUAUGUACUGUUGAUGAAGUUAGGUGCUGUUCUGAGCAUUAUUUGUGGCUAUAGAGUGGCUUUUUGGUUGAGGUUUGUUUACGGCUCCUCAGACCGCUGUGUAUUGCUAUCGUGCAACCAUUACUUAAGUUGGUAUAACUAGAGAAGAAAGUGGUCGGCAACAUUCAUCUCGGUGUUACAGUGUGUUUGACCCUAAAUUAAUUUUACGCCGGAAUAUCCCUUUAAGUACACACUGUGGCUUUUGAUAUAAUUUUUGAGUUACAGUCAAAUUGAGUUGAAUUGAGGUCACAUACAGUCAUCACAUUUAAGAGCUCGCAGCCUUUAGCAGGUAUUUCAGUCUAGAGUGACCCAGUUCAUUGGCCACUUUCAGAUGAAAGUGUCUCUUUUAGCUGGCUUUGGGUGUUUAUUUGACAUUACUGAUCAGUAGUCUUUAGUUUAAGAUUCUAAUAAUAAAAAUCUAAACUAGGUUGCAUUUGUGAGGAUCUUUCAGUGCUUCAACAGCUGGGAAACAUUUAAAAAGAAGGUUUCAAAUCGCCUGAUAA